AAUUUUCUGUACAAUUCUAAACGCCGAUCUUUCAGCAGGAAGGACACUGAAGUUACGACUCCCCUCUUUUUCUCUGACGUUCAAUCGAUCAACAAAUAACGAUGUAGGGUAGAGAAAUAACAAAGAGAUCGCAUAGCGAAGUGGAUAUCGUGUUAGACUCCGGAUCUAAAGGUCGUGGGUUCGAAUCCCACUGCGAUCGCUACUAUUUUUUUUGCCUUAGCCCAUAACUUUUUGCCAUCUUAUAGGAUACUAAAUGUACUUGCCACUGUUACUACAAUAUUAUACCAAGUUAUAUAUGGUCUUUAAUCGUUUAUUAGAUGCACGAAAA